rnacentral:lncRNA from 1 species
AAGCCACUGUAAAUCGCCAUGGAUUUACAUCAUUCUGCUUGCCUAAAAAAAGCAAACAAAAAAAGAAAAAAAUGGGAAGUAUAAAAUUCAAAUGACCCUUGAUGAACAUAACCCAGAAAUUUUCCUUGUAUUCCAUAAAUGCAAUAAAACAAAAGUCAGUGUCUCCAUUUUCCAAACAACCAAGCAAGCAAGCAACAAACUUCGAAAACCCUAAUUCGAACCAAUUUAGAACUAUAACCAAGUAAACCACUUAAUAAAAAAAAACCCACUAAUUUUCUCAAAAACCCAACAAAUUUAAAGGAUACAGAUGAUAAAUCCCCGUAAAUUCCCAAAUUUGAAAACCAGAAGAUAAAAAAAAGGCAAAGAGGCUUAUCUUUAUUCACUAAUCGGACACUAACAGAAAAAACUCUAAUUCAUAUUAUUCAGAUUACAAAUACACAGGGACCAUAUAGCUAAUAAUGCUAGACAAUUUGUCCCUAAUCCAACACAAAAAUUGUUCUGGUUAUACAUACGAUACCCGCCUAAAUAUCAACCAAUUCCAAAUUAAAAUGGAAAAUGAAACGGAGCAACAUAAAUUGAAUACAAUUUGGGGAAAUUUUGGGGAAAAUUAUCUCACCUGGAGCUCCGAAUCUCCAAGAGGUCCCGAUCCGAGCAGGCUCCGAAUUGGGUUGCUGAAGAUGGUGAUCAAGGAAGGGUUUUAGAGGUGGGUUUGAUCAGAUCAAAGCCGAAGCCAUUAGGUUUGGGGGGAGAGGAACACAGAGCCACUGUGAGAGAGAGAGAGCAUGCGUUGUCUUUUUCUUCUAUCCAGCCACUCGAUCGCAGUUC